rnacentral:rRNA from 1 species
GCGGACGGGUGAGUAACACGUAAGAAUUUGCCUUUAGGAGGGGGACAACAGCUGGAAACGGCUGCUAAUACCCCAUAUGCUUUCGAGUGAAAUGAAUUUUUUUCGCCUAAAGAGAAGCUUGCGGCUGAUUAGCUUGUUGGUGAGGUAAUGGCUCACCAAGGCGACGAUCAGUAUCUGGUUUGAGAGGACGAUCAGACACACUGGAACUGAGACACGGUCCAGACUCCUACGGGAGGCAGCAGUAGGGAAUUUUCCGCAAUGGGCGAAAGCCUGACGGAGCAAUCUCGCGUGAGGGAUGACGGCCUAUGGGUUGUAAACCUCUUUUUUCAGGGAGGAAUAAAUGACGUGUACCUGAAGAAUAAGCAUCGGCUAACUCCGUGCCAGCAGCCGCGGUAAGACGGAGGAUGCAAGUGUUAUCCGGAAUCACUGGGCGUAAAGCGUCUGUAGGUGGUUUAAUAAGUCAACUGUUAAAUCUUAAAGCUCAACUUUGAAAUCGCAGUCGAAACUAUUAGACUAGAGUAUAGUAGGGGUAAAGGGAAUUUCCAGUGGAGCGGUGAAAUGCGUAGAGAUUGGAAAGAACACCGAUGGCGAAGGCACUUUACUGGGCUAUUACUAACACUCAGAGACGAAAGCUAGGGUAGCAAAUGGGAUUAGAUACCCCAGUAGUCCUAGCCGUAAACAAUGGAUACUAGAUGUUGAACAGAUCGACCUGUGCAGUAUCAAAGCUAACGCGUUAAGUAUCCCGCCUGGG